AGUGGACACAUGGCUGGAUCACACACACGUCUGCACAGCCUCUCCAUCCGGAGUCUGGGAGGAAAAGCGCUUUGUUGGCCUAGAGCGCGCAGGGGCCUGGGCUCUCCUCUGGCUUCCCUCCUCUGGCCCACCGCUGGGUUGGAGAACCCCUUCUUCUGUUGGGAGGGAGGUGUGGACGCGCAAGUCUUGUGUAUGGACAAGUGCAAAGCUGGAGGAGUGAGGAAACUUUAAUCCUACGGAGGCCGGAGCUCGCUGGUCUGCUCUUCCGCCAAGGGAUGAGCCGGGAUUCCCUGCAGAAGGAGCUGAGCCCUCUCCGGCCGGCCGGGCCGGAGACAACUCCGCUGGCGGAAGCUUGGUUCCCUAAUUCCUUUUACCAGGUGCAGCCCCGACUCUCUGAGCUCCACCCUCCCCUGCCCCAGUGUUUGCCUGCAGCCCCAACCGCAGGGAGCUGAUUCACUAGAGAUUCCAAUGGAUGCUCUCUGUUGGCUGGCGCCCCAGCUUUUCACUCAAGCACCACGAGACUGGAGGGUGAAGGUGACCAGGACUCAGAGCUGGAGGCUUCUGUACAGAACCUGCAUGACAACUCUUCAAGGUCCCUGUUGGAUGUGACAGCACCGUGUGGGUGUGUCAGAGCUGAACUCUUGUCUGCGGCCCCCGUGUCUCUCCCAGCCACUCACUCGCCAGGCUUCCAGGGCCAGCUGUCUCAGUAUUCCUUGUUCAGAGUUUUACCUCCUGGGCUGGAUUACAGGUUCCUCGGGAGAGGCUAGACUUCCUAUGUGUUGUCUGUAAUCCUCAGCACAAGACUAAACAUGCAGAUACACUUGGUAAGCACUUGUGAAUAAAGGAAACAGAGAGGCAGAAUA